CCUACGGGAGGCAGCAGUGGGGAAUAUUGGGCAAUGGGCGCAAGCCUGACCCAGCAACGCCGCGUGAAGGAAGAAGGCUUUCGGGUUGUAAACUUCUUUUAGAAGGGACGAAGCAAGUGACGGUACCUGAUGAAUAAGCCACGUCUAACUACGGGCCAGCAGCCGCGGUAAUACGUGGGUGGCAAGCGUUAUCCGGAUUUACUUGGUUUAAAGGGCGUGUAGGCGGGAGUGGAAGUCAGAUGGGAAAACUAUGGGCUCAACCCAUAGCCUGCAGUUGAAACUGUACUUCUUGAGUGCUGGAGAGGCAAUCGGAAUUCGGGGUGUAGCGGUGAAAUGCGUAGAUAUACGGAGGAACACCAGUGGCGAAGGCAGAUUGCUGGACAGUAACUGACGCUGAGGCGCGAAAGCGUGGGGAGCAAACAGGAUUAGAUACCCUAGUAGUC
rnacentral:rRNA from 1 species